CAAUAGCGUAUAUUAAAGUUGUUGCGGUUAAAAAGCUCGUAGUUGGAUUUCUGUCGAGAACGCGCGGUCCACGCUUUGCGUGAGUAUCUGUGUCGGUCUUGGCAUCCUCUAAAGGAUCGUUUCUGCGCUUGAUUGCGUGGAGCGGAACUUUAGACUUUUACUUUGAGGAAAUUAGAGUGUUCACGGCAGGCCAUCGCCAGGAUACAUUAGCAUGGAAUAAUACUAUAGGAUCUUGAUCCUAUUUUGUUGGUUUCUAGGAUUAAGAUAAUGAUUAAUAGGGACAAUUGGGGGCAUUCGUAUUAACGCGUCAGAGGUGGAAUUCUUGGAUUGCGUUACGACGAACUACUGCGAAAGCAUUUGCCAAGGAUGUUUUCAUUGA
rnacentral:rRNA from 1 species